rnacentral:rRNA from 1 species
UACGUAGGGUGCAAGCGUUGUCCGGAAUUAUUGGGCGUAAGAGCUCGUAGGCGGCUUGUCGCGUCGGCUGUGAAAACUCGGGGCUCAACCCCGAGCCUGCAGUCGAUACGGGCAGGCUAGAGUCCGGCAGGGGAGACUGGAAUUCCUGGUGUAGCGGUGAAAUGCGCAGAUAUCAGGAGGAACACCGGUGGCGAAGGCGGGUCUCUGGGCCGGAACUGACGCUAAGGAGCGAAAGCGUGGGGAGCGAACAGG